GAUCCUGGCUCAGGACGAACGCUGGCGGCGUGCUUAACACAUGCAAGUCGAACGAUGACGGUGGUGCUUGCACCGCCUGAUUAGUGGCGAACGGGUGAGUAACACGUGAGUAACCUGCCCUCCACUUCGGGAUAACCUCGGGAAAUCGUGGCUAAUACCGGAUAUGAGCACUCAUCGCAUGGUGAGUGCUGGAAAGAUUUAUCGGUGGGGGAUGGACUCGCGGCCUAUCAGUUUGUUGGUGAGGUGAUGGCUCACCAAGACGAUGACGGGUAGCCGGCCUGAGAGGGCGACCGGCCACACUGGGACUGAGACACGGCCCAGACUCCUACGGGAGGCAGCAGUGGGGAAUAUUGCACAAUGGGCGAAAGCCUGAUGCAGCGACGCCGCGUGGGGGAUGACGGCCUUCGGGUUGUAAACCCCUUUCAGUAGGGAAGAAGCGAGAGUGACGGUACCUGCAGAAGAAGCGCCGGCUAACUACGUGCCGGCAGCCGCGGUAAUACGUAGGGCGCAAGCGUUGUCCGGAAUUAUUGGGCGUAAAGAGCUUGUAGGUGGCUUGUCGCGUCUGCCGUGAAAACCCGAGGCUCAACCUCGGGCGUGCGGUGGGUACGGGCAGGCUAGAGUGUGGUAGGGGAGACUGGAACUCCUGGUGUAGCGGUGAAAUGCGCAGAUAUCAGGAAGAACACCGAUGGCGAAGGCAGGUCUCUGGGCCAUUACUGACACUGAGAAGCGAAAGCAUGGGUAGCGAACAGGAUUAGAUACCCUGGUAGUCCAUGCCGUAAACGUUGGGCACUAGGUGUGGGGGACAUUCCACGUUUUCCGCGUCGUAGCUAACGGAUUAAGUGCCCCGCCUGGGGAGUACGGCCGCAAGGG
rnacentral:rRNA from 1 species